rnacentral:lncRNA from 1 species
AAAUAGAGUCAAGACUUCAUCCAACAAUUGGUUCCAUCAACCCUAGAUAACAGAUUUAGCUACUUAUGCUAAUGAAAAAUAAAUCACUAAAAUAAUUCAUAAUCAACAAAUAGAAGUAUCAAGAAGAAGUUGAAAACUCUUAGGAAUUUAUCUGUCUUCUCCCCCUCGUUCUUGCCUCUAAAAUCUUCUAAAAACAGCUCUCCCUCACUUCUGGGCGAGUUUAGGUUUCAUAUAGGUUUAGGUUAGUCGCCUAAAAAAUUACAUAAUUAACCCUGCGUGUUUGGCUUUCGUCCGCCCGUCCGCGGCCGCGGAUUUGGACUGCCUCACUGCCUUGAAUUCGCGGACCAGUUCGCGGCCCACUCCGCGGCCGCGCACCUGGAGGGGUCGUUUCGCUUGCUUUUCUCGCUCCUUUUCGACCGGGCUAACCUUCGAUUGCCCUUUCACGUUCCAUGUUGACUCCAAAACACUCGUUAGCUCCCUCCUAGCUCGGAGUAGCUCCUGCAAAGCAUCAAAUUCUUAAUUAGAGUAUUUUGUUAUCUUUUAGCAUUCAAAUAUCAAUAAAGUACGGCUAAAUUAGAAUGUAAGUAGUGUCUAAAUUACAUGAAUAUAGCCUACUAUCAGCUCCCAUAGGAAAUCCAAAAAAUGCACAAUCAUAUACCCAAAGAUGAAAAACAAAUAUUGUUAAAAAUCAAUAUAUAAACUCAUAAUUAGGAUAACUAAAAAGCAAGAAACUCUAUAUGUAAAUAUCAAGAGAUCCAUUCACAAGUUUGACUGAUUGGCAGGCGUAUAUAUUUUAAUACUAACAAAGAAAUGCAGGCUGCAGUAAAUACAUGCUAUCACCUAAUAAACCAUGGCGAAUUGGCGAUGGCCCUUUGAUCAAGUUAUAGACUGAUGAAAACUGAAACAUCUAAAAUCCCUAUCAACAAAUGGCGGUAAUAUCAACCUGAAAAACCAAAUUGUAGAAACAGGAGAAUGAGACAAAAACCUCAAAAGGCCAGCAACAGAUUUGAAUAACAACGGAACACAUCGAGAACUAAUCAAAAUAAUGGACAAUCAAAAUCGUGGAAUUAUGAAAAGGAAAGUAAUAUCAUGUAUCUGUUUCCUGAUUUGUCAAAUUAUCAUGAUUUAUUCAAAAGAAUUUCAGAAUCAUAUAAUGUGAGAGAGGUGGAAUCAAAGGAAUCCCUUUUGGAUCCUUACAAAGAGAAAAGGAUGGACAAAAUGAAUAAAUUAUACAGAAGCCACAAAAAAAACUAGAUAAUCAGAGAAAGCAUAUUUUAUGCAGUUCCUGUUCUUGAUGGCAGUAGUAAGUUGGUAACAGAGUGCUUUGAUUGAUAAACUCAAAAAUUAUAAUACAAGUUAAUUAACUCAAAAUCUCAGCAAUAAUCUCUGAUGGUUAAAAGGUACAAAUCAGAAACUGGACAAUCUCGUGAGAUUUGAGAAGGAGGAAAAUUUGAGAGAAUUGAGAAUCAACGACUGAAGAAGAAAGAAUGAGAUGAGAGGAAGGCGUUUUUUCCCAGUAAAUAGAUGCGACAACCGUAAGGGAGAGAACGAAGAAUAGAAGGCGUCAGUUACUUUUGUUUUUGGUUGAAAGCGUCAGUUACUUUUAUUAAUUGAGAGAAGCAAUGUGUGUAAAAAAUUAAAUUUUUGUUAUUNNNNNNNNNNN